AGCGGUGACCUAGUGGUAAAGGCGUCCGCCUCGGAUGCGGGAGGUCGCGGGUUCGAUCCCUGGCUGAGUCA